rnacentral:rRNA from 1 species
CCCAGACUCCUACGGGAGGCAGCAGUGGGGAAUAUUGCACAAUGGGGGAAACCCUGAUGCAGCGACGCCGCGUGAGUGAAGAAGUAUUUCGGUAUGUAAAGCUCUCUCAGCAGGGAAGAUAAUGACGGUACCUGACUAAGAAGCCCCGGCUAACUACGUGCCAGCAGCCGCGGUAAUACGUAGGGGGCAAGCGUUAUCCGGAUUUACUGGGUGUAAAGGGUGCGUAGGUGGCAGGGCAAGUCAGAUGUGAAAGCCCGGGGCUCAACCCCGGUACUGCAUUUGAAACUGUCCAGCUGGAGUGCAGGAGAGGUAAGCGGAAUUCCUAGUGUAGCGGUGAAAUGCGUAGAUAUUAGGAGGAACACCAGUGGCGAAGGCGGCCUGCUGGGCUUUAACUGACGCUGAGGCUCGAAAGCGUGGGGAGCAAACAGGAUUAGAUACCCGUGUA